rnacentral:sRNA from 1 species
ACCACCACCACGACGCUUUGUGAUUUGAGUCUCCUCUCGCUCGCGUCGGGCUACGUGCUACGUUUUUCUUCUUCUUCUUCGUCGGGUUUACGAUGGCUCCCCGCGUGGCGGUGCUGCUGAUGGCCGUGGCCUCAUCGCUCCUCGUGAUGGCGUCGGCGCAGGAAUUCAACGCGCCGGCCUCCUCGCCGGCGCCGUCGCCGAUGGCCGGGGCGGCGCCCGGGAGCGCGUCCCCGCUCGCCGUCGCGUCCUCCGCGCUCGUCACCCUGCUCGCGGCGGCGCUCAUGCAGUAGACGACGACGCGACGACUCCGGCUUCUCCCGCGCGCGUGGCUCCGGAUUUGGUUGCGUCGAUCGAGCUGCGAUCAAAUCAUGCAUAGUUGGUUUCUUUCUUCUUUAUUAUAAUUCCUUCUUCUUUGGGGGAGAGAGAGAGAGAUUAUUGAGUGAGGGUAGUUUGAUGUUGAGUGGUUCUUGUGCUCUUGAUCUCGCUGAUGGACAUUCUUUUCUGUGUACCAUUUCUGUACCUCAUUAAUUACUACUACUACUAUGUGCCUUCAUUCGUAUGAAUAAAUCCGGAUCAUUUCAUCUUCUGAAAUGAUCCUUUUGC